rnacentral:rRNA from 1 species
CAAGCGGUGGAGCAUGUGGUUUAAUUCGAUGCAACGCGAAGAACCUUACCUACUCUUGACAUCCAGCGAACUUAGCAGAGAUGCUUUGGUGCCUUCGGGAACGCUGAGACAGGUGCUGCAUGGCUGUCGUCAGCUCGUGUUGUGAAAUGUUGGGUUAAGUCCCGCAACGAGCGCAACCCUUAUCCUUUGUUGCCAGCGCGUGAUGGCGGGAACUCAAAGGAAACGGCCGGGAACAAACCGAAGGAAGGGGGGGAUAACUUCAAGUCUUCUGGGCCCUUACAGCCAGGGCUACCCACGUGCUACAAGGGGCCAAACAAAAAAAACCAACCUCGCAAAAGCAACCGAACCUCAAAAAGGCCGUCUAAUUCCGAAUCGAAUUCGGCACCUCAACUCCUUGAAGUCGAAUUCCCUAGUAAUCGUAAAUCAAAAGGCUACGGUGAUUACUUUCCGGGGCCUUGUACACCCC